AUAAUCUUUUCUUCCUUUUGUUUGCUUAGAUUCUUAUUCUUCUUUCUUUGUGUACCUCUCCGGUGUUUUACUUCUUUUUCUUCUUUCCUUUUUGCUAUGUUUUUGGUGGUUUUCACAGGUGAUUUUUGGUUUCCUAGCUGCAAAAAGGCGGGGAAAUGGAUAUUUCUUUGCGUCUUUUCGAUUUUUUUUAAUCAUAUAUGUGUUUCAGGGCAAAAUUUUCGGGUUUGGUCUACUUUGAUUUUCAUUAAGUUGCUCUUUGUGCUGCAUGUGUUCGCUAUGGCUUGAGAUAAACAGUGGGACUUAAUUUGCAGCAUUUGGAACUUGCUAAUUUAGUUUUUAUUCUCCUGUUUCAAAAUUAAUUUUUGGCGUUCUUCUAAGGUUUUCUAAGUAGUGGUUUAUCCUAAUGUAUUUCCGUUUUCAAUUCACUGUUAUUUAGUUGUUCUGUUUUGUAAAUUGUUAUUUCUAAACAAUGCUUCUUUAUUUUGUAGCUUGGUUGAGGGAAAAAUUGAUGAUGUCUGGAUGUUUCAGAUAAUGUAAGCGCUUUUAUUUUAUUCUGCUGAGAAUUAAAAAUGAAGUGAUACUAAUGGUUUCAGGGGUAUCUUAUAAUCUUCCUCCUUCUCAAAGAACAUUUUCCACAAGAAUGCAUGGAAUGGAGCAAUUCCAGUUCCAGUGGCAAGCUGCAAGAUGACAAGAUCCAAGUCUGCUUAGUCAUAUUGAAGGGAAGUGUGCAGAAGUGCCUGAUGGUAACAAUUAAAGGAGCUAGCACUGGCAACAGUUACCGUUAUUACUGUAGCAUUGGGAUCCUUUGGCAGUGAAUAUUUCUUUUCCGGCAGGUCCAAUAAUCUUAACUUCAACUUCAGGCUUCAAGUUGCCUGAAAUAUUAACGUUUGAAUGCAGGUACGUGGCUGUAAGCCUAUAUAUCACAUGUUUAUUAAUAAAUGCGCAGUUAAACUCGAUCUAUAUAUGCUUGAAAUUCAAGCCAAGAAUGUUUUACUGUUUCGAGAGAAGAUCAAACAAAAUAUACUAAUGUUGCUAACAUUGUUUAAGGUUUAGGGAGUCCUUGAUUCUUACAUGAAAAGUUUGGGCGGGCUCCUUUAACUAUUUCCCCUUUGUCAUUGGUGUAGACAAGCCUUUUGGCAGAUUGUGAACUACCUGUCUCACCGCGAAUCACUUGUUCCACAAGGUGACUUAUUUUGGUGUACAUUUUGUUUGCUCUUUCCAUCAUUGCAUGUUAAGAAAAUUUACUUGCUGAUUAGGUUUGGAGAAACAAGUACCUGAAAGCACUCUUUGUAGCAUAGUUAAUAAACAAAAUGCAACAAAUUAAGCUGAGUUGAGUUCACUUUUAUUUCUAAGUUAUGUUAUGAAAAGAAAAAAAAACUUUUGCUGCUGGACUAUCACUGUCUAGAUGAACAUCAAAUCACUAUUUUAGGGAGGUCUAAGACAAAAAUCUUCUUCUUAGUAUAGGUUAUGGUUUAGUUAGUAUCUGAUGGCUUGAUUGUGGCACUGCUAUGUUGAUGUUGACUAAGUUAAAAGGUCUUUUGUCCUUAUGCAUGUUGAAAGCCCGAAAUGCCUUCUUUUCUCCUCAGGGCGUGAGUAUAAUGAAGGACGACAUUGAAUUAGAGAUGUAAAAUGGUAGCACGUACUUAAGAGAAGUGCAAAAAGGUUCCUUGAAUGAGAGUUACUGACUAUAUUUUUUUGGCCAAUUAUAAUAAAUCAAAAUAUUUUGUCCUUUGAUUAUUUACAUUUUUGGCGUGUAGAAACUAGAAACCAUACUAAUAAAAAGGAGAACUCUUUUCUUACAUAAUUAAUGCAUAAAUUUAUGGCUCUCUGGAUGUCUCUUUAACUAAAAUGACCUGGUUAGGCCAAUGUUCAUCUGCAGUACUUGUUUCUAUUGACUGACACUGCUGAAGUUCUACUGUUUUGUUUUGAGAGCAAGUCGACUCAUCCUCCAGAGGCUGCUCUGGAAACUCAGGUGUGAGGCUUUCAAUGACUCUAUUUAGUGAUUUUUACAGAAUUGUCAUGAUAAAUUUAUUGUACAUUUCCUUAGAAUGCAUACCAUUUAUGUUGAUGGGAGCAAAGUGACUAGAACAUCUUCAGAUGAGGCAGCCCACGGGUUUGAAUAUUAUUAUUAUUAUUAUCAUUAUUUUAUUUUUUUAAAGCCAAGCAUUCACUUAGUUAGUCAUAGGUAAGCUUUGCUGGGAAUAAAUAAAAAAAGCUGGACUUACCGCUGGCAAUAUGGUUCCCUUGUUUUUAUAAUUUAACAUGAGUAUAUACAAUUUCUCACUAUUUGCAGUUUGUUGGUUCGUUUAUCUGCUUUAUGCUAUCCAGACCUUCUGGUGUAUCUCUGGUUAUGUCAAAUUCUGAUCAGGCAACACCAAGUCCCAUUGAAUCACAUGACAACCAUCCGAAUGGCACUUCUUGAGCAUCGAAAUAUGAAAUACGGGAUGAACACCCAAAGCUGGUCAUGAUGAGAAUAGUCUUAGCUUGUAAUUGCUAUGUUGGAUAGGAUAAAGGACGAGAGUGAAAGAAAGUCGGGAUCUGGAGCUAAUGUGAUGAUGAUGACUGAGACAUAGAUGAGCUUUCUCAUGAAGAUAUUGUUUACGCGAAGUAAUUCUAUGGAGUAUCUAACCAACAGGGACUUGGAUUACAAUAAAAUGCAUUUUACUAAUGGUUUUGAAGACAAAGUAGUCUGAUAUUGGGGAAAUCGAAACACGUUGUAGGUAUGUGAAUCAUCAGAGGUGAAAAUAUGGUGUUCACGCGAUUAUUUAGGCUGGAAAUGGGAAAACACACACCAUGAUUGGAAAAUAUUGAAAGAGGCACGCGAAGACAUGGUGCGAAUUGUGGGAUUCCAUCUAUGGUAUUUGAGUACUUGUUUUCAAGAAUUCAAAAGGUACGGAUAUUGCAUCUGGUUUACUAUGUCAAUAUAUACCAAAUGUCUCCUAUGCUUAAUGAUCACUCCUUUUUUUCCCAUCAUAUAUCUCUAUAUUUAAUGAAAAAAACAAUGAGUGAGCCAAGGCCCGCGACUCCAUCAGAGGUUCGUAGCUUUCUGGGCUUUGGCAGGUUAUUACAAGCGGUUUGUAGAAGGGUUUGCUACUAUAUCAGCACUAUUGACAAAAUUAACUCUGAAAGGGGCCAAGUUCCAGUGGUCAGACGCUUGUGAACGUAGUUUCCAAGAAUUGAAGAAUCGAUUGACAACCGCACCUGUUCUUGCUCUUGCAGAAGGUAUAGAGGGUUAUGUGUUUUAUUGUGAUGUUUCAGGCACAGGUUUGAGAUGUGUAUUAAUGCAGCAUCAUCCCAGUGGAGCGACACUCAUUUGAGCCUGCAACAGUUUUUCAGCUUCAAAGGCUUAUCAUCAAGUCUCCGUUGAUGUCAAAGUGGCCCUGAUAUAGAUAUACACCGUUAGUAUAAAGAAUUUUUUUGCAUCGUCAAGUCGGCCAAAGGAUAUACUACAGGUGAGCCUCAAAUUGUGGAUGUAAUCUUGAAGAUAAGAAAGAUUACUUCUAUAACAGGAAUCUGCAUCGAAAGGAAUCGGAAAAUAAAGAAAUAUUUUAAGUAGAAAUCAGGUAAAGAGUGAACUCAAUUUGUUGAAUUUUGCUCUUUUUAUAUUGUUGGUUAUGAACGCUGAGGAAUUUAUUAAUUCUUUUACAGCUCCAUCUAUUAAUGUCAAAGGUCUCUAAAUUUCUGGUUU